UGAUCCUGCCAGUAUUAUAUGCUCAUGUUAAAGAUUAAGCCAUGCAUGUGUAAGUUUAAAGUCCAAGUAGGAUGAAACUGCGGACGGCUCAUUAUAACAGUUAUAGUUUCUUUGGUUAGUAAAAUAUAAGGAUAACUUUGUGAAUGAUAAAGCUAAUACUUGAGACGAUCUGGAUUGUAGUAAUACAAUUCGGCCGUUGGCAGCAAUGCCGCGAGAAAUGAUAUUCUUUAUGAAUAGGGAUACCAUGACAAUUGUAGAGUACACAGUGCUUAACAAGUAACCAAUGAGAAUUUCUGAUCUAUCAAUUUGUUGGUAGUAUCGAGGACUACCAAGAUUAUAACGGAUAACGAGGAAUUUGGGUUCGACAUCGGAGAGGGAGCUUUACAGAUGGCUACCACUUCCAAGGAAGGCAGCAGGCGCGUAAAUUACCCACUUUCGACGCGAAGAGGUAGUGACGACAAUAACUCUUGGGGUCCCUUUGGGACUUCUUGAAGGAAUGACUUAGAAGCAAAGUCUCUAAGAAAAUCAAUUGGAGGGCAAGUCUGGUGCCAGCAGCCGCGGUAAUUCCAGCUCCAAUAGUGUAUAUUAAAGUUGUUGUGAUUAAAACGCUCGUAGUUGAAUUUGAUGGGGCACUAGUUCUUUUCCGAUCUCCUUCGGGAGAGAGGAGGGAACAAUUACGGUGUUCUUAAGGAGAUUGUUUACGCAAGUAAGCAAUCAUUACUUUGAAAAAAUUAGGGUGUUCAAAGCAAAUCAUUUUGUUAAUGAAUAUUCAAGCAUGGGACAAUGCUGAGGAGACGGCUUCGGCCGUUUCUAGAUAAGGAUUAAGAGGAAUACUUGGGGUGAUUCAGAAAAUAACGGGAGAGGUGAAAAUUCAUGAUCGUUAUAAGAUGCACUAGAGCGAAAGCAUUUCACUCAAUUAUGUCCAUUAAUCAAGAACGAAAGUUAGGGGAUCGAAGACGAUCAGAUACCGUCGUAGUCCUAACUAUAAACGAUGUCAACCAAGGAUUGGAUAAAUUCAAGUAAUAUGAUGUUUUGGUUUCAUUGAAAUCAAGAUUGAUUAUUACAAUAUUACCUUAUUCAGAACUUAAAGAGAAAUCUUGAGUUUAUGGACUUCAGGGGGAGUAUGGUCACAAGGCUGAAACUUAAAGGAAUUGACGGAAGGGCACACCAGGAGUGGAGCCUGCGGCUCAAUUUGACUCAACACGGGAAAACUUACCAAGACCGAACAGUAUAAGGAAUGACAGGUUAAUAGUCCUUUCAUGAUUUAUUGGGUAGUGGUGCAUGGCCGUUCUUAGUUGGUGGAGUGAUUUGUCAGGUUAAUUCCGGUAACGAACGAGACUGAAACCUAUUAAUUAGUUGUCUGCCUAUAAGACAGACAUGUUAGCAAUAACAAGUGUUUU
rnacentral:rRNA from 1 species